GUAGCAGCUUUUGUACUUUUAUCUAAGCAAGGAACUCGUCCAGCUGAACCUUCCCCACACCUAUUUCCAAGGUCUUUGCUUCCCAGUCACUCCUGCCUGUUCUUGGGACAUCUUUUAGAAAAAAGCCUGCAGUAUCUCCCUGCUCAGCCAUGCUCCUGGUGUUCAUCACAGUGCUGGGGAUACAUUUUGCUCUGAGAGAUGCCAGAGCCCAGACUGUGACCCAGACUGAUGCCAACAUCACUGUCUCUGAAGGACACUCGCUGGAGUUGGGAUGCAAGUAUUCCUAUAGUACAAUACCUACUCUCUUCUGGUAUGUCCAGUACCCUGGAAAAGGCCUCCAGUUUCUCCUCCGGUACUAUUCUGGGGACACCCAAGUUCAAGGCAUUAAAGGCUUUGAAGCUGAAUUCAGGAAGAGUGAAUCUUCCUUCAACCUGAGGAAACAUUCUGUGCACUGGAGUGACACAGCUACAUACUUCUGUGCUGUUAGUACCACAGUGAGUGGGACUGCAGGGAGAGCUGAACACAAACCACUAGGUGGGUGGAGUUUUCAGAGAGUCAAGAUGUGA